UACGGGGGGGGCAAGCGUUGUUCGGAAUUACUGGGCGUAAAGGGCUCGUAGGUGGCCGACUAAGUCAGACGUGAAAUCCCUCGGCUUAACCGGGGAACUGCGUCUGAUACUGGAUGGCUUGAGUUUGGGAGAGGGAUGCGGAAUUCCAGGUGUAGCGGUGAAAUGCGUAGAUAUCUGGAGGAACACCGGUGGCGAAGGCGGCAUCCUGGACCAAUACUGACACUGAGGAGCGAAAGCCAGGGGAGCAAACGGG
rnacentral:rRNA from 1 species